CCUACGGGAGGCAGCAGUGGGGGAUAUUGCACAAUGGGCGAAAGCCUGAUGCAGCGACGCCGCGUGAGGGAAGACGGUCUUCGGAUUGUAAACCUCUGUCUUUGGGGAAGAAAAUGACGGUACCCAAAGAGGAAGCUCCGGCUAACUACGUGCCAGCAGCCGCGGUAAUACGUAGGGAGCAAGCGUUGUCCGGAAUUACUGGGUGUAAAGGGAGCGUAGGCGGGAUGGCAAGUAGAAUGUUAAAUCCAUCGGCUCAACCGGUGGCUGCGUUCUAAACUGCCGUUCUUGAGUGAAGUAGAGGCAGGCGGAAUUCCUAGUGUAGCGGUGAAAUGCGUAGAUAUUAGGAGGAACACCAAUGGCGAAGGCAGGUCUCUGGGCCGUUACUGACGCUGAGGAGCGAAAGCGUGGGGAGCGAACAGGAUUAGAUACCCCAGUAGUC
rnacentral:rRNA from 1 species